AUUGAACGCUGGCGGCAGGCCUAACACAUGCAAGUCGAGCGGACGUAGCAAUACGUUAGCGGCGGACGGGUGAGGAAUGCAUCGGAACGUGCCGUGUCGUGGGGGAUAACGCAGGGAAACUUGCGCUAAUAUCGCAUACGCCCUGAGGGGGAAAGUGGGGGACCGCGAGGGCUCACGCUAGAUGAGCGGACGAUGCCCGAUUAGCUAGUUGGUGAGGUAACGGCUCACCAAGGCGACGAUCGGUAGCUGGUCUGAGAGGAUGAUCUAGCCGCACUGGAACUGAGACACGGUCCAGACUCCUACGGGAGGCAGCAGUGGGGAAUAUUGGACAAUGGGGGCAACCCUGAUCCAGCCAUGCCGCGUGAGUGAAGAAGGCCUUCGGGUUGUAAAGCUCUUUAAGCGGGGAGGAAGGUCGUGCAGUUAAUACCUGCGCGAAUUGACGUUACCUGCAGAAUAAGCACCGGCUAACUCUGUGCCAGCAGCCGCAGUAAUAC
rnacentral:rRNA from 1 species